rnacentral:rRNA from 1 species
UACGGAGGAUCCAAGCGUUAUCCGGAUUUAUUGGGUUUAAAGGGUGCGUAGGUGGCUUUUUAAGUCAGGGGUGAAAGACGGUAGCUUAACUAUCGCAGUGCCUUUGAUACUGAAGAGCUUGAAUGAACUAGAGGUAGGCGGAAUGUGACAAGUAGCGGUGAAAUGCAUAGAUAUGUCACAGAACGCCAAUUGCGAAGGCAGCUUACUAUGGUUUUAUUGACACUGAGGCACGAAAGCGUGGGGAUCAAACAG